rnacentral:rRNA from 1 species
AACCUGAAACCGUGUACGUACAAGCAGUGGGAGCACCUUCGUGGUGUGACUGCGUACCUUUUGUAUAAUGGGUCAGCGACUUAUAUUUUGUAGCAAGGUUAACCGUAUAGGGGAGCCGUAGGGAAACCGAGUCUUAACUGGGCGAAUAGUUGCAAGGUAUAGACCCGAAACCCGGUGAUCUAGCCAUGGGCAGGUUGAAGGUUGGGUAACACUAACUGGAGGACCGAACCGACUAAUGUUGAAAAAUUAGCGGAUGACUUGUGGCUGGGGGUGAAAGGCCAAUCAAACCGGGAGAUAGCUGGUUCUCCCCGAAAGCUAUUUAGGUAGCGCCUCGUGAACUCAUCUUCGGGGGUAGAGCACUGUUUCGGCUAGGGGGCCAUCCCGGCUUACCAAACCGAUGCAAACUCCGAAUACCGAAGAAUGUUAUCACGGGAGACACACGGCGGGUGCUAACGUCCGUCGUGAAGAGGGAAACAACCCAGACCGCCAGCUAAGGUCCCAAAGUCAUGGUUAAGUGGGAAACGAUGUGGGAAGGCAUAGACAGCCAGGAUGUUGGCUUAGAAGCAGCCAUCAUUUAAAGAAAGCGUAAUAGCUCACUGGUCGAGUCGGCCUGCGCGGAAGAUGUAACGGGGCUAAACCAUGCACCGAAGCUGCGGCAGCGACGCUUAGCGUUGUUGGGUAGGGGAGCGUUCUGUAAGCCGUUGAAGGUGGCCUGUGAGGGUUGCUGGAGGU